AAAAAGUAAAACCUGAGUUUUCGUUUCCAAUUUUGACUGUACGUUUUAUAUGAAAUUUUUUUAUAAUUCGUAUUUUCAUUGUUGUUAAUUGAUAAAACAUGAUUAAUAUUUUAUGUGUGACUUGUCUUUUUAAUUUUUUUCAUAAUUUUUUUAAAUAAGACGGACGGUCAAACGUUGGACACGGAAACCAAGGUUUGUCUUUUUU
rfam:Oryza rufipogon genomic scaffold, chr03